AAUGAACGCUGGCGGCAGGCCUAACACAUGCAAGUCGAACGGAUCCUUCGGGAUUAGUGGCGGACGGGUGAGUAAAGCGUGGGAACAUACCCUGUGGUACGGAAUAGCCUCGGGAAACUGGGAGUAAUACCGUAUGUGGUCGAGAGAAGAAAGAUUUAUCGCCAAAGGAUUGGCCCGCGUUGGAUUAGGUAGUUGGUGGGGUAAUGGCCUACCAAGCCGACGAUCCAUAGCUGGUUUGAGAGGAUGAUCAGCCACACUGGGACUGAGACACGGCCCAGACUCCUACGGGAGGCAGCAGUGGGGAAUCUUAGACAAUGGGGGAAACCCUGAUCUAGCCACGCCGCGUGAUCGAUGAAGGCCUUAGGGUUGUAAAGAUCUUUCAGGUGGGAAGAUAAUGACUGUACCACCAGAAGAAGCCCCGGCUAACUCCGUGCCAGCAGCCGCCGUAA
rnacentral:rRNA from 1 species